AGGCGCUCUUGUUGUAAUGUACCGUUGCGGAAGGCGCCCUUGUGUUUUUAACACUCUGAUGGGCUAGUUGACCACCGUAGAGGUGUACAUGAAGCGAGCAGAAUACCGUGCUGUCAUGCAUUAUGUGUGUUACGGCGGCGAACUAUGCAAAACUCGGAUGUCACAUUUUGGGACGUUACAAAGAACACACCAGGGCGGUCGCCUAGAAUCGAUUUGCUCUCCGAAACCACGAAAGUAUGUCACGUCCAUUCGUGCUCGCAUCAGUUCACUACGAAUAUAGAGAUAAUGUCACAUAUGAAGCAUCACAUACGAGAGGGUCAUGAUCAGAUGUCCUUAUGAACGCUGGAAGUAGUAGUUCCGUGCCGUCUCCGCGUUUUGUGUGCACCUUCUUGUUCUUCCAUUGAAAAAAUAAAACAGUGAGUCUAAUUUCCUUUCUCUUUGAAGUGUUUUGAUGCCAGAGCUGACUGAUGGGUGCAUAUGGUUCCUUCGUAUGUUCUUUCUUUGAAAAAAUAAACGUAUUUUGAUGCCAGAGCUGACUGAUGGGUGCACAUGGUUCCUUCGUAUGUUCUUCCUUUGAAAAAAUAAACGGGUUUUGAUGCCAGAGGUGACAAGCGCAUUUUCAUCACUAUGUACAUAGAAAAUAAAUCCCAAUGUGACAAACAUCACAA